AGCGUACACGGUGGAUGCCUAGGCAGUCAGAGGCGAUGAAGGGCGUGCUAAUCUGCGAAAAGCGUCGGUAAGCUGAUAUGAAGCGUUAUAACCGACGAUACCCGAAUGGGGAAACCCAGUGCAAUACGUUGCACUAUCGUUAGAUGAAUACAUAGUCUAACGAGGCGAACCGGGGGAACUGAAACAUCUAAGUACCCCGAGGAAAAGAAAUCAACCGAGAUUCCCCCAGUAGCGGCGAGCGAACGGGGAGGAGCCCAGAGUCUGAAUCAGUUUGUGUGUUAGUGGAAGCGUCUGGAAAGUCGCACGGUACAGGGUGAUAGUCCCGUACACCAAAAUGCACAGGCUGUGAACUCGAUGAGUAGGGCGGGACACGUGACAUCCUGUCUGAAUAUGGGGGGACCAUCCUCCAAGGCUAAAUACUCCUGACUGACCGAUAGUGAACCAGUACCGUGAGGGAAAGGCGAAAAGAACCCCGGCGAGGGGAGUGAAAUAGAACCUGAAACCGUGUACGUACAAGCAGUGGGAGCACCUUCGUGGUGUGACUGCGUACCUUUUGUAUAAUGGGUCAGCGACUUAUAUUUUGUAGCAAGGUUAACCGAAUAGGGGAGCCGUAGGGAAACCGAGUCUUAACUGGGCGUCUAGUUGCAAGGUAUAGACCCGAAACCCGGUGAUCUAGCCAUGGGCAGGUUGAAGGUUGGGUAACACUAACUGGAGGACCGAACCGACUAAUGUUGAAAAAUUAGCGGAUGACUUGUGGCUGGGGGUGAAAGGCCAAUCAAACCGGGAGAUAGCUGGUUCUCCCCGAAAGCUAUUUAGGUAGCGCCUCGUGAACUCAUCUUCGGGGGUAGAGCACUGUUUCGGCUAGGGGGCCAUCCCGGCUUACCAAACCGAUGCAAACUCCGAAUACCGAAGAAUGUUAUCACGGGAGACACACGGCGGGUGCUAACGUCCGUCGUGAAGAGGGAAACAACCCAGACCGCCAGCUAAGGUCCCAAAGUCAUGGUUAAGUGGGAAACGAUGUGGGAAGGCACAGACAGCCAGGAUGUUGGCUUAGAAGCAGCCAUCAUUUAAAGAAAGCGUAAUAGCUCACUGGUCGAGUCGGCCUGCGCGGAAGAUGUAACGGGGCUAAACCAUGCACCGAAGCUGCGGCAGCGACACUUAGGUGUUGUUGGGUAGGGGAGCGUUCUGUAAGCCGUUGAAGGUGACCUGUGAGGGUUGCUGGAGGUAUCAGAAGUGCGAAUGCUGACAUAAGUAACGAUAAUGCGGGUGAAAAACCCGCACGCCGGAAGACCAAGGGUUCCUGUCCAACGUUAAUCGGGGCAGGGUGAGUCGACCCCUAAGGCGAGGCUGAAAAGCGUAGUCGAUGGGAAACAGGUUAAUAUUCCUGUACUUGGUGUUACUGCGAAGGGGGGACGGAGAAGGCUAGGCUGGCCGGGCGACGGUUGUCCCGGUUUAAGCGUGUAGGGGGAGUGACCAGGUAAAUCCGGUUGCUUAUCAACCCUGAGGCGUGAUGACGAUGCACUACGGUGCAGAAGCAGUUGAUGCCAUGCUUCCAGGAAAAGCCUCUAAGCAUCAGGUAACAUUAAAUCGUACCCCAAACCGACACAGGUGGUCAGGUAGAGAAUACUCAGGCGCUUGAGAGAACUCGGGUGAAGGAACUAGGCAAAAUGGUGCCGUAACUUCGGGAGAAGGCACGCUGGCGUUAGGUGAAAGGACUAGCUCCUGGAGCUGAAGCCAGUCGCAGAUACCAGCUGGCUGCAACUGUUUAAUAAAAACACAGCACUGUGCAAACACGAAAGUGGACGUAUACGGUGUGACGCCUGCCCGGUGCUGGAAGGUUAAUUGAUGGGGUCAGCCGCAAGGCGAAGCUCUUGAUCGAAGCCCCAGUAAACGGCGGCCGUAACUAUAACGGUCCUAAGGUAGCGAAAUUCCUUGUCGGGUAAGUUCCGACCUGCACGAAUGGCGUAAUGAUGGCCAGGCUGUCUCCACCCGAGACUCAGUGAAAUUGAACUCGCUGUGAAGAUGCAGUGUACCCGCGGCAAGACGGAAAGACCCCGUGAACCUUUACUAUAGCUUGACACUGAACAUUGAGCCUUGAUGUGUAGGAUAGGUGGGAGGCCUUGAAGUGUGGACGCCAGUCUGCAUGGAGCCAACCUUGAAAUACCACCCUUUAAUGUUUGAUGUUCUAACUCGGCCCCAUGAUCUGGGGUGAGGACAGUGUCUGGUGGGUAGUUUGACUGGGGCGGUCUCCUCCCAAAGAGUAACGGAGGAGCACGAAGGUUAGCUAAUCACGGUCGGACAUCGUGAGGUUAGUGCAAAGGCAUAAGCUAGCUUGACUGCGAGAGUGACGGCUCGAGCAGGUACGAAAGUAGGUCUUAGUGAUCCGGUGGUUCUGAAUGGAAGGGCCAUCGCUCAACGGAUAAAAGGUACUCCGGGGAUAACAGGCUGAUACCGCCCAAGAGUUCAUAUCGACGGCGGUGUUUGGCACCUCGAUGUCGGCUCAUCACAUCCUGGGGCUGAAGUAGGUCCCAAGGGUAUGGCUGUUCGCCAUUUAAAGUGGUACGCGAGCUGGGUUUAGAACGUCGUGAGACAGUUCGGUCCCUAUCUGCCGUGGGCGUUGGAAGAUUGAGAGGGGCUGCUCCUAGUACGAGAGGACCGGAGUGGACGAAUCACUGGUGUUCGGGUUGUCAUGCCAAUGGCAUUGCCCGGUAGCUAAAUUCGGAAGAGAUAACCGCUGAAAGCAUCUAAGCGGGAAACUUGCCUCGAGAUGAGUCUUCCCUGGGGCUUAAAGCCCCCUGAAGGAACGUUAAAGACUAUGACGUUGA
rnacentral:rRNA from 1 species